rnacentral:rRNA from 1 species
GUUACUUUCGGUACAUCGGUGACAGGUGGUGCAUGGUUGUCGUCAGCUCGUGUCGUGAGAUGUUGGGUUAAGUCCCGCAACGAGCGCAACCCUUGUCAUUAGUUGCUACGAAAGGGCACUCUAAUGAGACUGCCGGUGACAAACCGGAGGAAGGUGGGGAUGACGUCAAGUCCUCAUGGCCCUUAUAGGUGGGGCUACACACGUCAUACAAUGGCUGGUACAAAGGGUUGCCAACCCGCGAGGGGGAGCCAAUCCCAUAAAGCCAGUCGUAGUCCGGAUCGCAGUCUGCAACUCGACUGCGUGAAGUCGGAAUCGCUAGUAAUCGUGGAUCAGCAUGUCACGGUGAAUACGUUCCCGGGUCUU